rnacentral:rRNA from 1 species
AACGAACGCUGGCGGCAUGGAUUAGGCAUGCAAGUCGAACGAGAAGCUCUAGCUUGCUAGAGUGGAUAGUGGCGAAAGGGUGAGUAACGCGUGAACAAUUUGCCCCUAAGCUCGGAAUAGCCUCGGGAAACUGGGAUUAAUACCGAAUGUGGUCUUCUGUCGCAUGACAGAUACACUAAAGAUUUAUCACUUAGGGAUGAGUUCGCGUUCCAUUAGCUAGUUGGUAGGGUAACGGCCUACCAAGGCGACGAUGGAUAGCUGGUCUGAGAGGAUGACCAGCCACACUGGGACUGAGACACUGCCCAGACUCCUACGGGAGGCUGCAGUCGAGAAUCUUCCGCAAUGGGCGAAAGCCUGACGGAGCAAUGCCGCGUGCAGGAUGAAGGCCCUUGGGUCGUAAACUGCUGUCACCAGGGAAGAACAUAAUGACGGUACCUGGAGAGGAAGCACCGGCUAACUACG